rnacentral:rRNA from 1 species
UACGUAGGGUGCAAGCGUUGUCCGGAAUUAUUGGGCGUAAAGAGCUCGUAGGCGGUCCGUCACGUCGGCUGUGAAAACCUGGGGCUCAACCCCGGGCCUGCAGCCGAUACGGGCGGACUAGAAUUCGGUAGGGGAGACUGGAACUCCUGGUGUAGCGGUGAAAUGCGCAGAUAUCAGGAGGAACACCGGUGGCGAAGGCGGGUCUCUGGGCCGAUAUUGACGCUGAGGAGCGAAAGCGUGGGGAGCGAACAGG